CCAGGAUGCCUAGACUGGCAAGGGUGGUGCCGCGGUAAAUUCAAGCUACAAUUACAGUUGAUUGGUCACUGUGGCGCUUUAUGGGAGCAACAGCAUUCCUCUGCAGGGCAACAUGAGCAGACUUUUCCUGGAGCUUUCACAAUCUGGAGCCAGAGGCCAGGAAGCCAGAAAGGACAAAUAAGGCUCUUCUGAUGAUGGGGUAAAUCUGACAUUAAAGGGACCGGAGCCAUUUGUGAGGUCCUGCUUCAAAACAUUCUCCUACUAGAGUCUCUGCUGCCCUCCUGUGGCACCUCUGCGGUACAUCCGCUUUCUAAGUUCUGCUGAGUGGACCUGACCUUACCUCACUGCAGCCACUGUGGUGUGAACCUCAGCAGUUGCUCGGCAUUUAAA